AAGAAUAGAAAUGUGUACGUGUUCACUGUAGGGUGCAGGAAGUAAAGGCACUUGUCACCUGUGAUGGUGCCUGAUGAUCUUGUUGGAUCCAUGAGAUCCACAUGAUAGAAGACAAAAAUCAACUUCUGCCUACUUAUUCUCCUUCAGGGAUACAUCUGCACACAAGCACACACACAUACAGUCACACACACAUAUACAGUCUCACACACACACAAGCACAAACACUUCCCUCCCAGAUAUACCUACAUACCUCUCUCUCUUUCUCUCUCUCUUUCUCUGUCUCUCUUUCUCUGUCUCUCUUUCUCUGUCUCUCUUUCUCUGUCUCUCUCUGUGUGUCUCUCUCUCUCUCUCCUUCUCAUACACACACACACACACAUGCACAGGUACAGGCACAUGCACACACACUAGCACACCCCUACCUAUCCCCCAAUACACAUAUUCAUAUCCACAAAUAAAGGAAUAUGAUAUGAUUUUAAACAAAAAACAUUCCUAAAUAUUCAAAAUUAGCAGAAUUAAAAGAAGUUAUAUGCAAUAGUUUAAAGAAUUUACUACUUUUAUACAAUGAUUUAAAGUCUUAUUUCUCUCCAAGAAUUCAUGAUAAAUUAUCAAUGUGCCAAUGCGUUUUUCCUUUUAUUAUUAGGCAGUUGUUUUUAACUUUUAAAGAUCUUUGGUUUCUUUUUGGAUGAAAUAAUUGUGGUUAAGUAUACACAUAAGUUCUACUCUACUUAUUUCUAUUGUUGGCUGUAUUUGUGAUUUUGGAAUACAAUGAUUUAGUAAUGUGAUUGAUACAUAAAUACAUAGUGCCAUAAUUUCUCUACUUUAUGCUUACUUUAAUUUUUAAAGACUUUUUAAAUGUGACAACAGAUGGUAAAUUAAUAGAAAUUAGGGAGUACACUUACUGAAUACAAAACUCAUUCAGGUAAAGGGUAGGAAAAGUAAGUCAGCCUGAUAGUGGUGGCUAAGACAUCCAGGCCCCACUGUGAUGAGACAGGUCUCCAGGCAGCACAUUACCAUCUCAACCCUCAGUCUGUAUAUUAGUCAGUGCCAGCACAUGACCAAUAACAGUGGUCUCUGAAAUUCUAAUGCUCAGCAAUGACAUCAAGGGAUAUAUCUGUAACUUGUUUACUAUUCAAAAUUCAGUCAAGACUCUUAAAACAUUCUUUGCAAACUAUAAAGAGCUGUGCAGGCUUAUUCCUGGUCAGUGAGAUUUCACCAAGCCCAGGAGAAAGAAGACUAGACUGUGUAACUGUCAACUGUAACUUACAGACUAUCAUAAAGAGAAGAGACAUAUGAGCUUGAUUCUAACUUUUUAUAGCUAAACUGUUCAUGAUUCCAUGUAUCUCUGUUUUGUGUCAUUAUAUGAUUUUUUUUUGAAAACACAUGGAAUGAGUAAAUCAGUCUAGUCAACAGGUGUGUGAACAAUUGGAAUUUAAUGUUAAUCCUUUGGAAAUGUUCUGUUGCCAGACAUAGUUACCUCAACAUAUAACACAAAUGCACAGUUCUUAUGUGAGACUUUAGUGCUUUUGACCAUGAAAUUCUUCUCAUUUCUCUUAGUAACUUGAGACUCUCCAUUCCUUUUCCAUGGGUCAUCUCUUUUUUAUAUUCCACAUAAGUUAAGAAGACUCGUAAUCAACUAUGGACUCUGUUUGUAUGUGUACAUAAUGUUAGAUGGGUAGGGAAGUGAGGAGUACCUGAGAGAACUUGGGGAGGGGAAAGAAUAUGAGCAAAAUGCAUUGUAUGUAGGUUUUAAAUAAAGUAAUUUAUAUAAGAAGAAAAACCAUGCAAUUAUUCUGCAUAUGAGUUAUUUAUCUUGGAACAAUAUGUAUUUAUCCAUGUGUCUUGGGGUUUGUAUUCCUGCACAAAACAACAUGACCAAGAGCAAAUUGGGGAGGAAAGGGUUUAUUCAGCUUACACUUCACAUUGCUGUACAUCACAAAUGGAAGUCAGGACAGGAACUUGCACAGGGUUGGAACUUGGAAGCAGGAGCUGGGGCAGAGGCCAUGAAGGCUGCUGCUUACUGGCUUGCCUCUCCUGGCAUGCUCAGCUUGCUUGCUCUCUCUCUCUCUCUCUCUCUCUCUCUCUCUCUCUCUCUCUCUCUCUCUCUCUCUCUUUCUUUCUUUCUUUCUAUUAGACAUUUUCUUUAUUUACAUUUCAAAUGCUAUCCUGAAAGUUCCCUAUAGUCUCCCCUCUGCCCUGCUUCCCUACCCACCCACUCCUACUUCUUGGCCCUGGUGUUCCCCUGUACUGGGGCAUAUAAAGUUUGCAAAACCUAGGGGCCUCUCUUACCAAUGAUGGCUGACUAGGCCAUCUUCUGUGCAUAUGCAACUAGAGACACGAGCUCUGGGGGUACUGGUUAGAACCCAGGACUACCAGCCCAGGGAUGGCACCACUCACAAAGGGUUGGGUCCUUUCCCUUUGAUCACUAAUUGAGAAAAAGGCCUUACAGCUGUAUCUCAUGGAGGCAUUUCUUCAAGGGAGACCUCUUUUUUUAUGGUAACUCCAGCUUGUAUCAUGUUGACACACAAAACCAGCCCACAUGACAUAUUUUUGCACAGACCCAGAUUUUUUUCCUUAUUAACUCAUCUCCUGGUGGAUACAAGUUAAUUUUAGGAUUGUCAGUAAUGCUACAAUGAAUAUAGGUGCAAAGACACUAUUUUGAUUAACUGAUUUCAGACCUUUUGUACUAAUAGUCCCAGGUGUCAAUGUUGGUGCUUAUUAUAACUGUCUUUAGGUUUAUGAGGAACCUUCCUAAACCUUUUUCAUAUAGCUGCACUAAUGUAAAGUCCCAUCAAAGCUAAAAAGCAAAACAAAACAAAACAAAACAACC
rnacentral:lncRNA from 1 species